rnacentral:rRNA from 1 species
UACGAAGGGAGCUAGCGUUGUUCGGAAUCACUGGGCGUAAAGCGCACGUAGGUGGAUCGUUAAGUCGGGGGUGAAAUCCCGGAGCUCAACUCCGGAACUGCCUUCGAUACUGGCGAUCUCGAGUCCGGGAGAGGUGAGUGGAAUUCCUAGUGUAGAGGUGAAAUUCGUAGAUAUUAGGAAGAACACCAGUGGCGAAGGCGGCUCACUGGCCCGGUACUGACACUGAGGUGCGAAAGCGUGGGGAGCAAACAGG